AAAGAAGUAGUUUAGUUAAAGAACGAUAGGUUGUGGGGCUAUUAGCGGUGUAAGCCCUUUUUUA
rnacentral:tRNA from 1 species